rnacentral:rRNA from 1 species
UACAGAGGGUGCGAGCGUUAAUCGGAAUUACUGGGCGUAAAGCGCACGUAGUCGGCUUUGCAAGUCGGGUGUGAAAUCCCCGGGCUCAACCUGGGAACUGCAUCCGAGACUGCAUUGCUAGAGUAUGGGAGAGGGAAGCGGAAUUUCUGGUGUAGCAGUGAAAUGCGUAGAUAUCAGAAGGAACAUCGGUGGCGAAGGCGGCAUCCUGGACCGGUAUUGACGCUGAGGCGCGAAAGCCAGGGGAGCAAACGGG